rnacentral:rRNA from 1 species
AAUAUUGCACAAAGGAGGAAACUCUGAUGCAGCGACGCCUCGUGAACGAUUAAAGACUUCGGGUCGUUAAGUUCUGUCUUAGGGGACGAAAAUGACGGUAGCCUGGGAGUACUCCCCGGCUAACUACGUGCCAGCACCCGCGGUAAUACGUAGGGGGCAAGCGUUGUCCGGAUUUAUUGGGCGUAAAGCGCGCGCAGGCGGUCUGGAAAGUCGGAUGUGAAACCCCGGGGCUCGCCCCCGAGCCUGCAUACGAAACUUCCAGACUUGAGAGUGAGAGAGGGGAGUGGAAUUCCUAGUGUAGCGGUGAAAUGCGUAGAUAUUAGGAGGAACACCAGUGGCGAAGGCGACUCCCUGGCUUACCACUGACGCUGAGGCGCGAAAGCGUGGGUAGCGAACAGG